rnacentral:rRNA from 1 species
CGUAAAGAGCUCGUAGGUGGUUUGUCGCGUUGUUCGUGAAAUCUCACGGCUUAACUGUGAGCGUGCGGGCGAUACGGGCAGACUUGAGUACUGCAGGGGAGACUGGAAUUCCUGGUGUAGCGGUGGAAUGCGCAGAUAUCAGGAGGAACACCGGUGGCGAAGGCGGGUCUCUGGGCAGUAACUGACGCUGAGGAGCGAAAGCGUGGGGAGCGAACAGGAUUAGAUACCCUGGUAGUCCACGCCGUAAACGGUGGGUACUAGGUGUGGGUUUCCUUCCUUGGGAUCCGUGCCGUAGCUAACGCAUUAAGUACCCCGCCUGGGGAGUACGGCCGCAAGGCUAAAACUCAAAGAAAUUGACGGGGGCCCGCACAAGCGGCGGAGCAUGUGGAUUAAUUCGAUGCAACGCGAAGAACCUUACCUGGGUUUGACAUGCACAGGACGCCGGCAGAGAUGUCGGUUCCCUUGUGGCCUGUGUGCAGGUGGUGCAUGGCUGUCGUCAGCUCGUGUCGUGAGAUGUUGGGUUAAGUCCCGCAACGAGCGCAACCCUUGUCUCAUGUUGCCAGCGGGUAAUGCCGGGGACUCGUGAGAGACUGCCGGGGUCAACUCGGAGGAAGGUGGGGAUGACGUCAAGUCAUCAUGCCCCUUAUGUCCAGGGCUUCACACAUGCUACAAUGGCCGGUACAAAGGGCCGCGAUGCCGCGAGGUUAAGCGAAUCCUUUUAAAGCCGGUCUCAGUUCGGAUCGGGGUCUGCAACUCGACCCCGUGAAGUCGGAGUCGCUAGU